AGUGAACGCUGGCGGUAGGCCUAACACAUGCAAGUCGAACGGCAGCACAGUAAGAGCUUGCUCUUACGGGUGGCGAGUGGCGGACGGGUGAGGAAUACAUCGGAAUCUACUUUUUCGUGGGGGAUAACGUAGGGAAACUUACGCUAAUACCGCAUACGACCUACGGGUGAAAGCAGGGGAUCUUCGGACCUUGCGCGAUUGAAUGAGCCGAUGUCGGAGUAGCUAGUUGGGGGGGUAAAGGCCCACCAAGGCGACGAUCCGUAGCUGGUCUGAGAGGAUGAUCAGCCACACUGGAACUGAGACACGGUCCAGACUCCUACGGGAGGCAGCAGUGGGGAAUAUUGGGCAAUGGGCGCAAGCCUGAUCCAGCCAUACCGCGUGGGUGAAGAAGGCCUUCGGGUUGUAAAGCCCUUUUGUUGGGAAAGAAAAGCAGCAGGUUAAUACCCCGCGGUUCUGACGGUACCCAAAGAAUAAGCACCGGCUAACUUCGUG
rnacentral:rRNA from 1 species